CGUGGCAUAACAGCGAGUGAGUGAAUGUGCGAAGAAGUGAAGAGUCUUAAUUGGCAGCUAAUGCUGUGACAGUGGCUCUGUUUGGAUGUUUGUCCAUCCUUUAUUUUUACAAAUAAAAUCAAUCCAGUAAGUGCAAGAUGAUGAAACAAAACACUACAGUAGGUAAUAGAUUCAGUGUGUUGUAAAAUGAGUAAAAGUUAAGUUUAAGUAAAAGUUAUAACUUGUAUAUUUUUUACUUAAGGAGUACCAGGGUUCAACAGUCUUACAGCUGUCUGGAAAAAGGCAGUUUCUAAGCCUGGUCCGGUUACUCCCCAGCAUCCUUCCCAAGGGAAAAUAGACUAAAUGUUUACGUGCAUGAAGGGUGGAGUCAUGAUGCAUUUGGCCCUUCUUCUACAUCUGAUGGUGUAAUGUCCAAAGUGGAGGACAAGCUGUAUCCCAUGAUCCCCAUCACAUAUCUUUGCAGAGCCUUCUUUACUGCAACAUCUGUUAUCCCAAAUGUUUUAGUUGUAACUAAAUGACACUGCAAAAGUUUUUGUCUUCUUGCCCCACAUUAAGCAUACCAAAAUAUCUCAAAAGGCAUGUCUGAAACUUUGUGAAAACAACUUAAAAAAGAAUGCUAAUGAUUUUUAAAUGAUCUUUUGCUAGAUUUUAUUUUCAUUUUUUAAUUGCCACAUUCUGUUUUUACUUGUUUUCUUCUCAGUGACUACAAAAACAAUCGUUUUGAAGUGAGCCAGGUUCACAAGGUGGAGUGUGUGGUUCCCUGGCUCAAUGACACACUGUUGUUCUUCACCAUUUGCUUGCAGCUUUGUCAACAGCUCAAGGACAAGAUUUCAAUCUUCUCUAGCAUUUGGAAAUAUCGACCUCUUUGAUCAACCACCAGUCAGUCCUUCAUAUCAACAAUUCAACGAUACAUCGAUAGAUUAAACUGCAUUAUAUAUGUAUAUAUAAUUUUAAUCCAUGUAGUACAUUCAUUCAGUUCAAGGUGUGCUUUUUAGAUUAUGUAAGACAGUCAAACUAAAUUUAUGUUUGCUGACUACCUUCCCUGUAAUGUGUGGUUUUAUCAUAAAGCACUGAAUUAAACUUCUAAAGAUAGCAGA